UACGGAGGGUGCAAGCGUUAUCCGGAUUCACUGGGUUUAAAGGGUGCGUAGGUGGGUAAGUAAGUCAGUGGUGAAAUCUCCGGGCCUAACCCGGAAACUGCCAUUGAUACUAUUUGUCUUGAAUACUGUGGAGGUCAGCGGAAUAUGUCAUGUAGCGGUGAAAUGCUUAGAUAUGACAUAGAACACCAAUUGCGAAGGCAGCUGGCUACACAAAUAUUGACACUGAGGCACGAAAGCGUGGGGAUCAAACAGG
rnacentral:rRNA from 1 species